rnacentral:rRNA from 1 species
GAUGAACGCUGGCGGCGUGCCUAAUACAUGCAAGUCGAGCGAACGGACGAGAAGCUUGCUUCUCUGAUGUUAGCGGCGGACGGGUGAGUAACACGUGGAUAACCUACCUAUAAGACUGGGAUAACUUCGGGAAACCGGAGCUAAUACCGGAUAAUAUUUUGAACCGCAUGGUUCAAAAGUAAAAGACGGUCUUGCUGUCACUUAUAGAUGGAUCCGCGCUGCAUUAGCUAGUUGGUAAGGUAACGGCUUACCAAGGCAACGAUGCAUAGCCGACCUGAGAGGGUGAUCGGCCACACUGGAACUGAGACACGGUACAAGAUCAUACGGGAGGCAGCAGUAGGGAAUAUUCCGCAAUGGGCGAAAGCCUGACGGAGCAACGCCGCGUGAGUGAUGAAGGUCUUCGGAUCGUAAAACUCUGUUAUUAGGGAAGAACAUAUGUGUAAGUAACUGUGCACAUCUUGACGGUACCUAAUCAGAGAGCCACGGCUAGCUACGUG